GCCGGGAUGAUGGAAUCGGUAGACGUGGGGGACUUAAAAUCCCUUGCCUCAGGGCGUGCGGGUUCAAGUCCCGCUCCCGGCA
rnacentral:tRNA from 1 species